UGCACAGACGUGACAUUUUAUGUCUUAUGAUUAAAAUAGUCACCUUUUGUGUAAC
rnacentral:pre_miRNA from 1 species